CCUACGGGCGGCAGCAGUAGGGAAUUUUCGUCAAUGGGCGCAAGCCUGAAUGAGCGAUGCCGCGUGAGUGAAGAAGGCCUUCGGGUCGUAAAGCUCUGUUGCGGGGGAAAAAAGGCAGCAUCAGGAAAUGGGUGCUGACUGAUGGUGCCCCGCCAGAAAGUCACGGCUAACUACGUGCCAGCAGCCGCGGUAAUACGUAGGUGGCGAGCGUUAUCCGGAAGGAUUGGGCGUAAAGGGUGCGCAGGCGGUCCUGCAAGUCUGGAGUGAAACGCAUGAGCUCAACUCAUGCAUGGCUUUGGAAACUGGAGGACUGGAGAGCAGGAGAGGGCGGUGGAACUCCAUGUGUAGCGGUAAAAUGCGUAGAUAUAUGGAAGAACACCAGUGGCGAAGGCGGCCGCCUGGCCUGUUGCUGACGCUGAGGCACGAAAGCGUGGGGAGCAAAUAGGAUUAGAUACCCUAGUAGUC
rnacentral:rRNA from 1 species